rnacentral:rRNA from 1 species
CCUACGGGUGACAGCAGUGGGGAAUUUUCGGCAAUGGGCGCAAGCCUGACCCAGCGACGCCGCGUGAAUGAAGAAGGCUUUCGGGUUGUAAACUUCUUUUGUCGGGGACGAAGCACGUGACGGUGCCUUGCGAAUAAGCUGCUGGUAACUAGGUGCCAGCAGCCGCGUUAAUACGUAGGUGGCAAGCGUUAUACGGAUUUGUUGGGUGUAAAGGGCGUGCAGGCGGGGCAGCAAGUCCGCUGUGAAACUCACGGGCUCAACUUAUGCAGUGCCUUUGAAACUGUUUGUCUGGAGAGCUGGAGAGGCAAUCGGAAUUCCAUGUGUAGCGGUAAAAUGCGUAGAUAUACGGAAGAACACCAGUGGCGAAGGCGGAUGGCUGGCCAGUAGCUGACGCUGAGGCGCGAAAGCGUGGGGAGCAAACAGGAUUAGAUACCCCUGUAGUC